rnacentral:rRNA from 1 species
GAGGAAUAUUGGUCAAUGGGCGCAAGCCUGAACCAGCCAUCCCGCGUGAAGGAUGAAGGCCUUAUGGGUUGUAAACUUCUUUUGUACCUGAAGAAACCCUUCUACGUGUAGGAGGUUGCCGGUAAGGUACGAAUAAGCAUCGGCUAACUCCGUGCCAGCAGCCGCGGUAAUACGGAGGAUGCAAGCGUUAUCCGGAUUUAUUGGGUUUAAAGGGUGCGCAGGUGGUUGAAUAAGUCAGUGGUGAAAGUCUGCCGCUUAACGGUAGGAUUGCCAUUGAUACUGUUUAACUUGAGUUUGGAUGAGGUAGGCGGAAUGUGUAGUGUAGCGGUGAAAUGCAUAGAUAUUACACAGAACACCGAUUGCGAAGGCAGCUUACUAAUCCACUACUGACACUGAGGCACGAAAGCGUGGGGAUCAAAC